rnacentral:rRNA from 1 species
UUUAUAUGAGAGUUUGAUCCUGGCUCAGGAUGAACGCCGGCGGUGUGCCUAAUACAUGCAAGUCGUACGCACUGGCCCAACUGAUUGAUGGUGCCUUGCACCUGAUUGACGAUGGAUCACCAGUGAGUGGCGGACGGGUGAGUAACACGUAGGUAACCUGCCCCGGAGCGGGGGAUAACAUUUGGAAACAGAUGCUAAUACCGCAUAACAAC